ACGGCGGCGACGCCGAGUCCGCGCGCCGCGCGGAGCCGGGGAACCAGCGCGAUCGACGUCCGGGCCGACGGCCCGCGGCGCGCUCGCAGGGGUGAAUCGACGUUUCGUCCGAUCGAGGAGACCGCGGAGACCGCGGAGACGUCGUAGGGCGGCUUCCAUGCCCGAAUCCGUCAGCUAACCCGGUAGGCGGCAUGGAAGGAGAA
rnacentral:sRNA from 2 species